rnacentral:rRNA from 1 species
GACAGAGGGUGCAAACGUUGUUCGGAAUUACUGGGCGUAAAGCGUGCGCAGGCGGUUUUGUAAGCCAGAUGUGAAAUCCCCGGGCUCAACCUGGGAAUGGCAUUUGGGACUGCAAGGCUUGAGUGCGGCAGAGGAGACUGGAAUUCCUGGUGUAGCAGUGAAAUGCGUAGAUAUCAGGAGGAAUACCGAUGGCGAAGGCAGGUCUCUGGGCUGACACUGACGCUCAUGCACGAAAGCGUGGGGAGCAAACAGG